GUCUACGACCAUACUACGCUGAACGCGCCCAAUCUCGUCUGAUCUCGGAAGCUAAGCAGGGUCGGGCCUGGUUAGUACUUGGAUGGGAGAAAAGUCUAUGAGCCUCUUACC
rnacentral:rRNA from 1 species